ACCACCUUAAAGGAAUCUGGAGCUGAUGACUCAAGAAAUGUCCUUCCUCCUAAGAAAUUAUCUUCCCAUCUGAGAUUAGCAGCAUCUAAUCUCAGUUUUCUCCACUGCUGACCAGCAUCAGCAACACAGCUCUAGCCCUGUUUUGGGUAUCAAAUCCAAAUCCUGUAAGCAAAAGGUCAAGGAUUCAGAAGUGAAAGGAAAGAUUGUGGCUCUAACUUUGCCAAAGUGAAAAGUACAGACCUCUGCCAUCAGUGAAGAAAGAACCCAGAUCUGAUAAGAGCUUCGAACAGGCUCAGCACCUCCUGGCACACAUAGAGCGGCAUCGCGUUGCCCCAAGAAAAUCACAUCUCUACACAUCAGACCCUUUCCAGUCCAUUUUGCCCCAUCCACAAAAUGAAAAUGCCACUUUAUUUACUAAAUCUAAAAAUUCUGUUGGGAGGCAAAGGAGAGUCGAAGAAUUUGCAAUGAAUUUAACCUGCCAGGAGAGGGAGUUUAACACCAAGCUUCCAGAAACAGGCUGUGUGGUAGCUACAACGUCCAGAAACCCAGGUUUCAACGCGGCCCUGCUUCAAGACCCAAAGGAAAUUCAGCACCAGGCGGGUGAAGUGACUUACCUGUGCACAGCUGCACUCGCAGACUUCGGAGCCCCCACCUAAUUCUAAAAUGCUGUAUGUCCAUGAACUUAAUAACAGAAGGUCAGGGGAGAGACGUUCUGAGAGCAACGGAAAUCUAUCUUAAGAUAAAGAUGUUUCUGAGGCUGAUUUUUCAAGUCAAACUUGAGAGAGAAAUUCAAAGGCUAUGUUCUCAUAUCAUAUUCCUGGGUUUGGGAGGUUCAUUCACAGCUUAAUCCUGUCCCCUGAAGUCACGAUUACGUAAGUAUGCUGUGUCACUUGCUGUCCCCACCCCCAACACAGGAGAUGCAGUGUAACCUGAGCUCCUUGGCUUGAGCCACUGAAAACACUUACACAACGCUGGGACCUUUCCAAAUUGACUUGUUUCCCCUAAAGAAAGGGCAAGCUAUUUGAUUUUCUUCCUUCCACUUCAUUCACAUUCAUAUUUCUGUAUAUACAGAAGAGACUGAAAAAGAUAAAUAAGAUUGAAGGGCAUUUGCAAAUUUUCUUCAAUUCUUGAGUAAAACAAAAAAGUCAACUAUCCAAUGUCACGGAAAAGUAACCAAAAAAAAAAAAAAAAAAUUAUGGGCCUGCUUAGCCCCAAUUUAAAAACAUCACAUCUCCUGGCUGAACUGAGCUUAAGGUCCUUGGACGGGCUUCAUUUCCCACGUACUGGCUGUUUCUAGAGCCAGGCCCCAUACGCUACUGCCACGCGCAGCAUACUG
rnacentral:lncRNA from 1 species